ACAAAGAAGAGUUUGAUCCUGGCUCAGGAUGAACGCUAGCGAUAGGCCUAACACAUGCAAGUCGAGGGGCAGCAUAGGGUAGCAAUACUUUGAUGGCGACCGGCGCACGGGUGAGUAACGCGUAUGCAACCUACCUAUAACAGGGGAAUAACCCGGAGAAAUUCGGACUAAUACCGCAUAAAACAGGGGCUCCGCAUGGAGAUAUUUGUUAAAGAUUUAUCGGUUAUAGAUGGGCAUGCGUUCCAUUAGCCAGUUGGUGAGGUAACGGCUCACCAAAGCAACGAUGGAUAGGGGAACUGAGAGGUUUGUCCCCCACACUGGAACUGAGACACGGACCAGACUCCUACGGGAGGCAGCAGUGAGGAAUAUUGGUCAAUGGGCGAGAGCCUGAACCAGCCAAAUCGCGUGAAGGAAGACUGCCUUAUGGGUUGUAAACUUCUUUUAUACAGGAAUAAAAAGAG
rnacentral:ncRNA from 1 species